CCUUCGUCUAAAGUGUUCUUUGUCCAGAUUUUGAUAGUUUCUUCAGUUUUACUCUUCUCUCUCGCUGCUGUUGCCUGUACAGUUAUUAGGAACUUUAUGAAGCAGAGAGCUUCUGAUGUAGAGAAGGCCACUUUUUGACAUGUUUAGUCGAUAUAUUGUGCCUUGUACUGACGCUCAUAUAGCAAGAAAUGGGUCAGACAUUGAGGUCAAUAGUCUGGGAGAUAAACUCUUUCCCUUGGUUUCUUUAAUUUUACAUAAUUGAAAAUUGUAUCUUGUUUGUGUAUUGACUGUGAACUCGCUUUUUCAUAUUGUUCUUUGCUAGCAGCUGGACUACUUUUAUUUGUUAAAACAUAGUGAAUUAUUCUUUUCAUGA